rnacentral:misc_RNA from 1 species
AAAAAAUAUAUUUUAAAAAGGUUCAAAUUGUGAGUUAAAUGUACAAUGAAAACUAAUCUUUUAAAUUAAUAAUAAUUAGCCAUAUUUUAAUUUAUAUUCUUAAUCUUAACAAUAUUCUAAAAAAAUUAAUUGGGCAAAAUGUGAGUGACCGAUAUUUUUUCAUACACGUAUAUAUGUAAAGUAGGAAUGUUUUCCUUAGCUGUUUUCAUGUAGUAUUCUAAAUUUUCAUACUGCCGCGUGCUAUUAUAAAAUAGGAAGGUUUUCCCUAACUAGAGCUAAGUGGCAUUCUAAACUUUGAUGCUGUCACAUAACACUUACCAUAUAAAAAUUAUUAGUUUUAAUAAUUAUAGUAAUUAAUGAAAGUAAUUAUUGUCUUUUAUGCUAAGUAUUUAAUUUUAUUUUUUUGUUUAAUUUUCUUUUUAAUUCCCUUUUAAAUAUCUUUUAUGCUAAGUAGUUAAAUACUUUAUCUUCUCCCUCCUUUUUAUAUAUUUAAUAAAUUUU